CAAACCACUGGUCGCUGAAGGG
rnacentral:piRNA from 1 species